rnacentral:rRNA from 1 species
CUCCCAACCCCUGUGAACAUACCUUAUGUUGCCUCGGCGGAUCAGCCCGCGCCCCGUAAAAAGGGACGGCCCGCCGCAGGAACCCUAAACUCUGUUUUUAGUGGAACUUCUGAGUAUAAAAAAACAAAUAAAUCAAAACUUUCAACAACGGAUCUCUUGGUUCUGGCAUCGAUGAAGAACGCAGCAAAAUGCGAUAAGUAAUGUGAAUUGCAGAAUUCAGUGAAUCAUCGAAUCUUUGAACGCACAUUGCGCCCGCCAGUAUUCUGGCGGGCAUGCCUGUUCGAGCGUCAUUUCAACCCUCAAGCCCAGCUUGGUGUUGGGAGCUGCGUUAGCGCACUCCCCAAAUACAUUGGCGGUCACGUCGAGCUUCCAUAGCGUAGUAAUUUACACAUCGUUACUGGUAAUCGUCGCGGCCACGCCGUUAAACCCCAACUUCUGAAUGUUGACCUCGGAUCAGGUAGGAAUACCCGCUGAACUUAAGCAUAUCAAU